rnacentral:rRNA from 1 species
CUACGGGGCGCAGCAGUAGGGAAUUUUGCGCAAUGGGUGAAAGCCUGACGCAGCAAUGCCGCGUGUAGGAAGAAGCAUUUUGGUGUGUAAACUACUGUCGGUGGGGAAAAAGAAGUGAUUGUACCCACAAAGGAAGCAUCGGCUAACUACGUGCCAGCAGCCGCGGUAAGACGUAGGAUGCAAGCGUUGUCCGGAUUUAUUGGGCGUAAAGAGUUCGUAGGUGGUAGUUUAUGUCUGGUGUUAAAUAAUAGAGCUUAACUCUAUACCUGCACCAGAAACUAAAUUACUAGAGCUAGAUAGAGGUUAGAAGAAUUCCUGGUGUAGCGGUGAAAUGCGUAGAUAUCAGGAGGAAGACCUGUAGCGAAAGCGUCUAACUGGGUCUAUGCUGACACUGAGGAACAAGAGCUAGGGGAGCAAAAGGGAUUAGAUACCCCCGUAGUC